AUGAUGUAUUAGUAUAAUAAAGUAAGCUUAUAAUAUUUUUAUAUUUCGAAAUAUCAAAAAAAAAGCUAAAAUAUUUUAAAUAAAAAAACAUUAAUAUAUCUUUAAAAAAAAAAUCUAAAGUCAAAAUUCAGAAUAUAUAAAAAAUAAAUUAAAAGUAGAGAAAAUAGAUUAAUAAAUUUAUAUUAAAUAUUCAUAUAUAUAUGUAUAUAUUCAAUUUAUAUGCCCAACAUA
rnacentral:tRNA from 1 species